rnacentral:rRNA from 1 species
GACGAAGGGGGCUAGCGUUGUUCGGAAUUACUGGGCGUAAAGCGAGUGUAGGUGGUCAUCCAAGUUGGAUGUGAAAGCCUUGAGCUCAACUCAAGAAAUGCAUUCAGGACUGAAUGACUAGAGGACCGGAGAGGAUAGUGGAAUUCCCAGUGUAGUGGUGAAAUACGUAGAGAUUGGGAAGAACACCAGUGGCGAAGGCGGCUAUCUGGACGGUUUCUGACACUAAGACUCGAAAGCGUGGGGAGCAAACAGG